rnacentral:rRNA from 1 species
ACAACAGCUAUUAUAUACUUGAUGUUGAUGUGUUACGUGGAUAACUGUGGUAAUUCUAGAGCUAAUACAUGCACCAAAGCUCCGAUUUUUUGACGAGCGCAUCUAUUAGAUUAAAACCAAUCGGGUUUCGGCCCGUAAAUUGGUGACUCUGAAUAACUGUAGCUGAUCGCAUGGUCCAGAACCGGCGACGUGUCUAUCAAGUGUCUGCCUUAUCAACUGUCGAUGGUAGUUUAUGUGCCUACCAUGGUUGUAACGGGUAACGGAGAAUAAGGGUUCGACUCCGGAGAGGGAGCCUGAGAAACGGCUACCACAUCCAAGGAAGGCAGCAGGCGCGCAAAUUACCCACUCUCGGCAUGAGGAGGUAGUGACGAAAAAUAACGAGACCGUUCUCUAUGAGGCCGGUUAUCGGAAUGGGUACAAUUUAAACCCGUUAACGAGGAUCUAUGAGAGGGCAAGUCUGGUGCCAGCAGCCGCGGUAAUUCCAGCUCUCAAAGUGUAUAUCGUCAUUGCUGCGGUUAAAAAGCUCGUAGUUGGAUCUGCGCCUCAGGACUUGGUCCGCCCACUGGGCGAGAACUGGGCUCCUGGGCUAGUUGUGCUGGUUUUCCCUACGUUGCCUUCAUCGGUCGCGUAGGGUGGCUAGCGAGUUUACUUUGAAAAAAUUAGAGUGCUUCACGCGGGCUUAUGUCUGAAUAGUCGUGCAUGGAAUAAUAGAAUAGGAUCUCGGUUCUAUUUUGUUGGUUUUCUGAUCUGAGAUAAUGGUUAAGAGGGACGGACGGGGGCAUUCGUAUCGCUGCGUGAGAGGUGAAAUUCUUGGACCGUAGCGAGACGUCCGACUGCGAAAGCAUUUGCCAAGAAUGUCUUCAUUAAUCAAGAACGAAAGUCAGAGGUUCGAA